rnacentral:rRNA from 1 species
UACAGAGGUCUCAAGCGUUGUUCGGAUUCAUUGGGCGUAAAGGGUGCGUAGGUGGCGCUGUAAGUCGGGUGUGAAAUUUCGGAGCUUAACUCCGAAACUGCAUUCGAUACUGCGGUGCUUGAGGACUGGAGAGGAGACUGGAAUUCGAUGGUGUAGCAGUGAAAAUGCGUAGAGAUCAUGAGGAAGACCAGUGGCGAAGGCGGGUCUC